rnacentral:rRNA from 1 species
UACGUAGGGUGCGAGCGUUAAUCGGAAUUACUGGGCGUAAAGCGUGCGCAGGCGGUGAUGUAAGACAGGUGUGAAAUCCCCGGGCUUAACCUGGGAACUGCAUUUGUGACUGCAUCGCUGGAGUGCGGCAGAGGGGGAUGGAAUUCCGCGUGUAGCAGUGAAAUGCGUAGAUAUGCGGAGGAACACCGAUGGCGAAGGCAAUCCCCUGGGCCUGCACUGACGCUCAUGCACGAAAGCGUGGGAGCAAACAGGAU